rnacentral:tRNA from 1 species
GGGGAUGUGGCUUAGUGGUGGGGCACUUGUCUACCAUUCAUGAGGCCCUGGUUAUUGAAGUCCCAGCACCCUCG